rnacentral:tRNA from 1 species
CGCCCAUAGCUCAGUGGAUAGAGCAACGGUCUUCGGAACCGACGGUCGGGGGUUCGAAUCCCUCUGGGCGAA